rnacentral:rRNA from 1 species
CAGCCGCCGCGGGAAUACGUAGGGUGCAAGCGUUAAUCGGAAUUACUGGGCGUAAAGCGUGCGCAGGCGGUGUUGUAAGACUGAUGUGAAAUCCCCGGGCUCAACCUGGGAACUGCAUUGGUGACUGCAACGCUGGAGUGCGGCAGAGGGGGAUGGAAUUCCGCGCGUAGCAGUGAAAUGCGUAGAUAUGCGGAGGAACACCGAUGGCGAAGGCAAUCCCCUGGGCCUGCACUGACGCUCAUGCACGAAAGCGUGGGGAGCAAACAGGAUUAGAUACCCCCGUAGUCCCUGUCUCUUAUAA